rnacentral:rRNA from 1 species
AACGAACGCUGGCGGCAUGCCUAACACAUGCAAGUCGAACGAGACCUUCGGGUCUAGUGGCGCACGGGUGCGUAACGCGUGGGAACCUGCCCUUAGGUUCGGAAUAACUCCCCGACAGGGGUGCUAAUACCGGAUAAUGUCUUCGGCCCAAAGAUUUAUCGCCUUUGGAUGGGCCCGCGUUGGAUUAGCUAGUUGGUAGGGUAAAAGCCUACCACGGCGACGAUCCAUAACUGGUUUGAGAGGAUGAUCAGCCACACUGGGACUGAGACACGGCCCAGACUCCUACGGGAGGCAGCAGUGGGGAAUAUUGGACAAUGGGCGAAGGCCUGAUCCAGCAAUGCCGCGUGAGUGAUGAAGGCCUUAGGGUUGUAAAGCUCUUUUACCCGGGAUGAUAAUGACAGUACCGGGAGAAUAAGCUCCGGCUAACUCCGUG